CCGAGUCAAUUUGGGGGGGGUACAGGUACCGAGUCAAUGUGCAGAGGGCACAGGUUUUUCAAAGUCAUUUGUAAAGUGGCUAUGCAUAGAUAGGUAACAGCAAAUAGCAGCAGUGUAAAAACAAAGAGGGGGGCAAUAUAAAUAGUCAGGGAUUUGAUACAUUGUUCAGCAGUCUUAUGGCUUGGGGGUAGAAGCUGUUAAGGAACCUUUUGGACCUAGACUUGGCCCUUUGGUACCGCUUGUCGUGCAGUAGCAGAGAGAGCAGUCUAUGAUUUGGGUGACUGGAGUCUUCGACAAUUUUUGGGGCCUUCCUCUGACACCGCCUAUUAUAUAGGUCCUGGAUGGCAGGAAGCUCCCGAGUGGCGCAGCGGUCUAAGGCACUGCAUCCCAGUGCUAGAGACGUCACUACAGACCCUGGUUCGAUUCCAGGCUGUAUCACAACCGGUCUUGAUUGGGAGUCCCAUAGGGUUGCGCACAGUUGGCCCAGCAUCAUCCGGGUUAGGGUUUGGCUGGGGUAGGCCGUCAUUGUAAAUAAGAAUUUAUUCUUAACUGACUUGCCUAGUUAAAUCAAAUUUUUAAAAAAUACGCUUGGCCCCAGUGAUAUACUGGCCCGUACGCACUACCCUCUGUAGCGCCUUAUGGUCGGAUGCCGAGCAGUUGCCAUACCAGGCGGUGAUACAACCAGUCAGGAUGCUCUCGAUGGUGCGGCUGUAGAACUUUUGGGGGAUCUGGGGACCCAUUCAGUCUCCUGGGGGGGAAAAGGUGUUGUCGUCUUCACAAAUGUCUUGGUGUGUUUGAAGCAUGAGAGUUUGUUGGCGAUGUGGUCACCAAGGAUCUUGAAACUCUCGACCUCUCGUCCACUUCAGCCCAGUCAAUGUUAAUGGAGGCGAGUCCACGAUCAGAUCCUUUAUCAUCGUUGAGGGAGAGAUUGUUGUCCUGGCACCACACUGCCAGGUCUCUGACCUCCUCCCUAUAGGCUGUCUCAUCGUUGUCAGGUCUCUGACCUCCUCCCUAUAGGCUGUCUCCUCGUUGUCAGGUCUCUGACCUCCUCCCUAUAGGCUGUCUCAUCGUUGUCAGGUCUCUGACCUCCUCCCUAAUGGCUGUCUCAUCGUUGUCAGGUCUCUGACCUCCUCCCUAUAGGCUGUCUCAUCGUUGUCAGGUCUCUGACCUCCUCCCAAUAGGCUGUCUCAUCGUUGUCAGGUCUCUGAUCUCCUCCCUAUAGGCUGUCUCAUCGUUGUCAGGUCUCUGACCUCCUCCCUAUAGCCUGUCUCAUCGUUGUCAGGUCUCUGAUCUCCUCCCUAUAGGCUGUCUCAUCGUUGUCAGGUCUCUGACCUCCUCCCUAUAGGCUGUCUCAUCGUUGUCAGGUCUCUGACCUCCUCCCUAUAGGCUGUCUCAUCGUUGCCAGGUCUCUGACCUCCUCCCUAUAGGCUGUCUCGUCGUUGUCAGGUCUCUGACCUCCUCCCUAUAGGCCGUCUCAUCGUUGUCAGGUCUCUGACCUCCUCCCUAUAGGCCGUCUCAUCGUUGUCAGGUCUCUGACCUCCUCCCUAUAGGCUGUCUCAUCGUUGUCAGGUCUCUGACCUCCUCCCUAUAGGCUGUCUCAUCGUUGCCAGGUCUCUGACCUCCUCCCUAUAGACUGUCUCAUCGUUGUCAGGUCUCUGACCUCCUCCCUAUAGGCUGUCUCAUCGUUGUCAGGUCUCUGACCUCCUCCCUAUAGGCUGUCUCAUCGUUGUCAGGUCUCUGACCUCCUCCCUAUAGGCUGUCUCAUCGUUGCCAGGUCUCUGCCCUCCUCCCUAUAGACUGUCUCAUCGUUGUCAGGUCUCUGACCUCCUCCCUAUAGGCUGUCUCAUCGUUGCCAGGUCUCUGACCUCCCUAUAGGCUGUCUCAUCGUUGUCAGGUCUCUGUCCUCCUCCCUAUAGGCUGUCUCAUCGUUGUCAGGUCUCUGUCCUCCCUAUAGGCUGUCUCAUCGUUGUCAGGUCUCUGACCUCCUCCCUAUAGGCUGUCUCAUCGUUGUCAGGUCUCUGUCCUCCCUAUAGGCUGUCUCAUCGUUGUCAGGUCUCUGACCUCCUCCCUAUAGGCUGUCUCAUCGUUGUCAGGUCUCUGACCUCCUCCCUAUAGGCUGUCUCAUCGUUGUCAGGUCUCUGACCUCCUCCCUAUAGGCUGUCUCAUCGUUGUCAGGCUGUCUCAUCGUUGCCAGGUCUCUGACCUCCUCCCUAUAGGCCGUCUCAUCGUUGUCAGGUCUCUGACCUCCUCCCUAUAGGCCGUCUCAUCGUUGUCAGGUCUCUGACCUCCUCCCUAUAGGCCGUCUCAUCGUUGUCAGGUCUCUGACCUCCUCCCUAUAGGCUGUCUCAUCGUUGUCAGGUCUCUGACCUCCUCCCUAUAGGCUGUCUCAUCGUUGCCAGGUCUCUGACCUCCUCCCUAUAGACUGUCUCAUCGUUGUCAGGUCUCUGACCUCCUCCCUAUAGGCUGUCUCAUCGUUGUCAGGUCUCUGACCUCCUCCCUAUAGGCUGUCUCAUCGUUGUCAGGUCUCUGACCUCCUCCCUAUAGGCUGUCUCAUCGUUGCCAGGUCUCUGCCCUCCUCCCUAUAGACUGUCUCAUCGUUGUCAGGUCUCUGACCUCCUCCCUAUAGGCUGUCUCAUCGUUGCCAGGUCUCUGACCUCCCUAUAGGCUGUCUCAUCGUUGUCAGGUCUCUGUCCUCCUCCCUAUAGGCUGUCUCAUCGUUGUCAGGUCUCUGUCCUCCCUAUAGGCUGUCUCAUCGUUGUCAGGUCUCUGACCUCCUCCCUAUAGGCUGUCUCAUCGUUGUCAGGUCUCUGACCUCCCUAUAGGCUGUCUCAUCGUUGUCAGGUCUCUGUCCUCCUCCCUAUAGGCUGUCUCAUCGUUGUCAGGUCUCUGUCCUCCCUAUAGGCUGUCUCAUCGUUGUCAGGUCUCUGACCUCCUCCCUAUAGGCUGUCUCAUCGUUGUCAGGUCUCUGUCCUCCCUAUAGGCUGUCUCAUCGUUGUCAGGUCUCUGACCUCCUCCCUAUAGGCUGUCUCAUCGUUGUCAGGUCUCUGACCUCCUCCCUAUAGGCUGUCUCAUCGUUGUCAGGUCUCUGACCUCCUCCCUAUAGGCUGUCUCAUCGUUGUCAGGCUGUCUCAUCGUUGCCAGGUCUCUGACCUCCUCCCUAUAGGCUGUCUCAUCGUUGUCAGGUCUCUGACCUCCUCCCUAUAGGCUGUCUCAUCGUUGUCAGGUCUCUGUCCUCCCUAUAGGCUGUCUCAUCGUUGCCAGGUCUCUGACCUCCUCCCUAUAGGCUGUCUCAUCGUUGCCAGGUCUCUGACCUCCUCCCUAUAGGCUGUCUCAUCGUUGUCAGGUCUCUGACCUCCUCCCUAUAGGCUGUCUCAUCGUUGUCAGGCUGUCUCAUCGUUGUCAGGUCUCUGACCUCCUCCCUAUAGGCUGUCUCAUCGUUGCCAGGUCUCUGACCUCCUCCCUAUAGGCUGUCUCAUCAUUGAGGGAGAGGUUGUUGUCCUGGCAACACACUGUCAGGUCUCUGACCUCCUCCCUAUAGGCUGUCUCAUCGUUGAGGGAGAGGUUGUUGUCCUGGCAACACAAUGUCAGGUCUCUGCCCUCCUCCCUAUAGGCUGUCUUAUCGUUGUCAGGUCUCUGACCUCCUCCCUAUAGGCUGUCUCAUCGUUGUCAGGUCUCUGACCUCCUCCCUAUAGGCUGUCUCAUCGUUGUCAGGUCUCUGACCUCCUCCCUAUAGGCCGUCUCAUCGUUGUCAGGUCUCUGACCUCCUCCCUAUAGGCUGUCUCAUCGUUGUCAGGUCUCUGACCUCCUCCCUAUAGGCUGUCUCAUCGUUGUCAGGUCUCUGACCUCCUCCCUAUAGGCUGUCUCAUCGUUGUCAGGUCUCUGACCUCCUCCCUAUAGGCUGUCUCCUCGUUGUCAGGUCUCUGACCUCCCUAGAGGCUGUUUCAUCAUUGUCGGUGAUCAGGCCUACCACUGCUGUGUUGUCUGCAAACUCAGUGAUGAUGUUGGAGUUGUGGUGAACAGGGAGUACAGGAGGGGACAAAGUACACACCCCUGAGGGGCCCCAGUGUUGAGGAUCAGCGUGGCAGACGUGUUGUUGCCUACCCUUACCACCUGGGGGCGGCCCGUCAGGAAGUCCAGGAUCCAGUUGCAGAGGGAGGUGUUUAGUCCCAGGGUCCUUAGCUUAGUGAUGAGCUUUGAGUGCAGUAUGGUGUUGAAGAUGAGCUGUAGUCAAUGAAGAACAUUCUCACAAAGGUGUUCCUUUUGUCCAGGUUGGAAAGGGAAGUGUGGAGAACGAUUGUGUCAUCUGUGUAUCUGUUGAGGCGGUAUGCGAAUUGGGUGGGUCUAGUGCUUCCGGCAUGAUGGUGUUGAUGUGAGCCAUGACUAGCCUUUCAAAGACCUUCAUGGCUUCCGACGUGAGUGCUACGGGGGUAAUCAUUUAGGCAGGUUACCUUCGCUAUUCUUGGGCACACGGAAUAUGGUGGUCUGUUUGAAGCAUUUAGGUAUUACAGACUCGGUCAGGGACAGGUUGAAAUUGUCAGUGAAGACACUUGCCAGUUGGUCGGUGCAUGCUUUGAGUACACAUCCUGGUAAUCCCGUCUGGCCCGCGGCCUCGAGUCUUCUUGGGUAACACACCUGUAUUUGGGGAGUUUCUCCCAUUCUUGUCUGCAGAUCCUCUCAAGCUCUGUCAGGUUGGAUGGGGAGUGUCGUUGCACAGCUAUUUCCAGGUCGCUCCAGAGAUGUUCGAUCGGGUUCAAGUCCGGGCUCUGGCUGGGCCACUCAAUGACAUUCAGAUACUUGUCCCGAAGCCACUCAUGCAUUGUUUUGGCUUUGUGCUUAGGGUCGUUGUCCUGUUGGAAGGUGAACCUUCACCCCCAGUCUGAGGUCCUAAGGGCUCUGGAGCAGGUUUUCUUCAAUGAUCUUUUUGUACUUUGCUCUGUUCAUCUUUCGCUCGAUUCUGACUAGUCUCCCAGACCCUGCCUCUGAAAAACAUCCCCAGAGCAUGAUGCUGCCACCACCAUGCUUCACCGUAGGCAUGGUGACAGGUUUCCUCCAGAAGUGAUGCUUGGCAUUCAGGACAAAGAGUUCAAUCUUGGUUUCAUCAGACCAGAGAAUCGUGUUUCUCAUGGACUGAAAGUCUUUAGGUGCCUUUAGGCAAACUGAAAGCAAGCUGUUAUGUGCCUUUUACGUAACAAAAUGUGGAAAAAGUCAAGGGGUCUGAAUACUUUGCGAAUGCACUCUAUAUACAAAAGUAUGUGGACACCCCUUCAAAUGAGUGGAAUCAGCUAUUUCAGCCACACCCAUUGCUGAAAGGUGUUUAAAAUUGAGCACACCGCCAUGCAAUCUCCUUAGACAAAAAAUAUCAGUACAAUGGCCUUACUGAAGACCUCACUGGCCUUCCACGUGUCACUGUCAUAGGAUGCCACCUUUCCAACAAGUCAGUUCGUCAAAAGUCUGCCCUGCUAGAGCUGCCCCGGUCAACUGUAAGUGCUGUUAUUGUGAAGUGGAAACAUCUAGGAGCAGCAACUUCUCAGCCAGUAAAAUUCAUCUGUCUUCAGUUGCAACACUCACUACCGAGUUCCAAACUGUCUCUGGAAGCAACAUCAGAACAAGAACUGUUUAUCAGGAGCUUCAUGAAAUGGGUUUCCAUGGCCGAGCAGCCGUACACAAGCCUAAGUUCGCCGCCAUUGGACUCUGGAGCAGUGGAAACGUGUUCUCUGAAAUGACGAAUCACGCUUCCCCAUCUGCCAGUCCGCAUACAAAUCUGGGUUUGGUGGAUGCCAUGAGAUUGGUGCCUGCCUGAAUGUAAAGUUUGGUGAAGGAGGAAUAAUGGUCUGGAGUUGUUUUUCAUGGUUCAGGCCCUUUUGUUCCAGAGAAGGGAAAUCUUAACGAUGCAGCAUUUAAUGACAUUCUAGAUGAUUCUGUGCUUCCAACUUUGUGGCAACAGUUUGGGGAAGGCCCUUUCCUGUUUCAGCAUGACAAUGCACCCGUGCACAAAGAGAGGUCCAGUUAAAGCAGACCUACUCCAUAUCAAUGGCCAUGAUUUUGGAAUGAAAUGUUCGACGAACAGAUGUCCACAUACUUAAGUCAUGUAAUGUGGAUUUAAGCAUUAAUUUAGAUAUUUUAAAUACUAUGAUUUCUAGAGGUGAGAAUAUGAAUAGCAUAGAUACUUUAUGUGUACCUGUUGUAAUAUGCUCAAUACAUUUUCUGCAUGUAACAUUUUGUAUAUAUUUCUUGCAGUAAAUUAUUUGUAAAUUACCAAAAAUGUGCUUUUAAAUUUUUUUUUUGACAAAGUGCAUGGGUUUGUGUGUCCGAUCAUGUUACACUGAAUGUUUUAAAUGUUUGAUGCCAUAGUCUAUGGGUGUGUGUGUCUGAAUGUUUUGGGCGUAGAGCUAAAGUAUUUGACAUACCAUAAAACUUCAAUUAAAAGCUCA